AGGGCGCCCCACCUCCCCGCACACGCGAAGCCCUUGGGCCCCCUCCGACCCCGGCCCAUCUGUAUGCCGAAGGAAACCCAGAACCUCCGCGGGACGACCCCACUCCAAGCUUUCGGGAGACACCCCGCGUCACCCGCAGUCCUCACCCGACCCCGGACCCGCGGUGUCCCAGGAGCGUGAGCGCCGCGCGUCGGGCGGGAAGAGGCGAGGCAGGCCGGAGCGCAGCGCCUGGCUGAGGGACUGCGCGGCCUGGCGGGUACUGAGGCUCUAAGCCACGGAAGUGGCGCCGGACUUUAUAUCCAGACCAGCGCGCGAGCUCCUGGCUAGGGCGCAAGGACAGCCAUGACCUUCUCCAUUAGACUUCUUGGAAACAAGACUUUGCUCUGUCACCAAGAAUGGGGUGUACAGUGGGACAAUCAUGGCUCACUGCAGCCUUCAACUCCUGGGCUCAAGUGAUCCUCCCACCUCAGCCUCCCAAGUGGCUGAGACUACAGGAACACACCACCAGGCCUAGCUAAUUUUUUAAUUUUUCUAGAGACAGGGCCUCACUAUAUUGCCCAGGCUGGUCUGGAACUCCUGGCCUCAAGCAAUUCUCCUUUGUCAGCCUCCGAAAGUUACAAGUGUGAAUCACUGUACAUGGCAAAAAUGUUAUUUUAACUGAGAUUAUAUGACAUUUGUAGAUUAUUUUGAUGAAAUACAAAAUCAUUUCUUCCUAUAUAAGAACAGGAUAUAGCAUUCCAUUUAUUUCAUUAUUUCAUUCCCUUCUCUUCUUUAGUAUACAUUAAAAUCUGCAUAUUAGUUGUUAGUAUUCCUUGGUGUUUUAUCUCACAUCUUUAUAUUAUAUCAUAUGUGUGUAUGGAUAAAUGUGUGUAUGUAUACACAGGCACAGAUGCACCUAUACCUUAAUAUAUAAUAUUAAAGUAGAACCAUUCUCUUCACUUCUCACAAAGGUCUUUUUUCAUUGGUACUAGACAUUGAAUUUUGU